AUCUGCUUUCAGGCUGGAUUUAUAACAAGCAGAACUUUUAAAACGCUUCAGGAAAAAGAGGACCUUAGAACUGAAGGAGCAAGAUUCCAACAUCACACUGUUUUUGUUAGCUGUGUGUGUGUGUUUCCUGUGUAUCCAAAAGACAGAGGAGAUGAAAAAGCAAAAGAAAAGAAACGAGGAAUCAGAUUGGAAAGAAGGUUUCUCCAGGACGUCACCUGUAUGAGGUACACAGUGUGAUGACACACUCUGUGCUUUUCCUACUUGUGUCCACGGCUCAAGCCUGGAAGAAGCCUUAGGACGUGGGGGAAAUGUCUAACGUGGAGUCCACCUGCUGAGCAGGACCGGGUGUGAAGGAAGAAGCUUUGUUCUGAUUCCUCAUGGCCCAGCCACCCCUCGCCUGAGCUGAGCCUGGCCACAGGGCCCGCCUGCAGGAAGGGCUGGCCCAUGGCUUCACACUGGGCUCAGGCUGCGCUAAGAGCCCCGGGUGAGGACCUCCAAGCCCAGGAAGCCUCAGUUGGCCAAAGUGCUAGAUGCGUGUGGUCUGCUUUCAUCCCCGCUUCCCUCAGAGCUUGCAUUUUCCAAAUUCAAGAGAGGCUCCACCUUCAAGAAGACCGGCCUGUCCCUGUUAUUUAUGUGUCCCCCUACCAUAUCUCCCUUUGUUCUGCAGAGCGGUACGCAUAAAAAGCUUUUGGGGAAGGGGAGAAGUGUGGCUCAGUGACUUGCACAGGAAAUUGGAAAUUGGAUCCCCAGGUCUACCCCCACUCCUCUGACUCAUGCUUAAACAAACCCAACACAUGCCCUGACCUUUGCUCUCUCCCUCUAUUGCAGGCCAUACCUGCCAGCAGCCUGCUCUCCCGGCCAUGCUGCGGUUCACAAAAGUCCAGCAUUUGGCUAGCUUCCUGGGGGAAUGAAUCUUUCAGAGCCAAACUAAUGCUAUGCAUGCAGCUUAUGAUUUUUUUUUUUUUGUCUUCAACAAAGUGAAUACUUACUUUUUUUUUGCUCUUUAAAUUGUCAUCCAUUAUAUUCAUCAACACAGAGAGAUGGAACAUUUGGCAAAAUUAUUUUAAGUAGCACUCCAACCUGUGAUCGUAAUUUCAAAUCAAGGAAUUUGCUGAGCAGCUGUGGGGAAGAACAAAAGGCCUGAGAGUGAUUUAGGGCCUGGGGGAGGGGAGGCGGUGGAGUUGAAGGCCCCAGCCGGUAGCAGAAACAGCUGGGGAGGUAGGUUGUGCACACCCCGUGGGGGAGCCGGCCUUCUCAGCCCUGCCAUCCCAUCCACACGUGCCUCAUCAGAGAGUUUUCGUCUCCUGAACAUACCACAUGCAGCACUUUAAAAUAGAUAAACUAAGAGGAUUCAGAUUCAGUUUGAUACCCUCGCUGAGAGCUUCGGCUCGGGAGUUGGACAGGCCUGGCCUUGAAUCCUGGCUCUGCCUCUCACCAGCCUCAGUUGCAUCAUCUGUAAAAUGGGGCUAAUGUAGCAAUCACUUCGCAGAUAUUACUAUGAGGUUGAGUGUUUAUUUGACCCAGUCACUGGCAUAGAACAAGUGUUCAAAAUACUAUUAUUAUCACCAAUAUGCAGAAAUGUUCAAUGUAUACACUCGGUUUUUGCAACCAAUUUAUUCAAUGAACAUCUAUUGAGCACCUGUUAUGUGUUAGGUGCAGGGCUGGGUGUUGUGUGGGUACAAACACAUAAAGCAUAGGAAUUAAUAUGCUAUUAGAUAAACUAAAAAGACUUCUAUUGACUUAAAAAGUAAUAAUGACUUCUAAGCAUAUUUAAGUAAUUUACGAAAGAGCCUUUCUUUUUUUUAUUUUUGAGAUGGAGUCUUGCUCUGUCUCUCAGGCUGGAGUGUAAUGGUGCUAUCUCAGCUCACUGCAACCUCUGCCUCCCGGGUUCAAGCAAUUCUUGUGCCUCAGCCUCCAGAGUAGCUGGGUUUAUAGGCGCGUGCCACGACGCCCAGCUAAUUUCUGUGUUUUUAGUAGAAACGGGGUUUCACCAUGUUGCUCAGGCUAUCUUGAACUCAUGACCUCAGGUGAUCCACCUGCCUCGGCCUCCCAAAGUGCUGGGAUUACAGGUGUGAGCCAUUGCACCCGGUCAAAAGAGGCUUUCUUAACAGAUGGUCUAUUAGAAGCAAUUUGAAAAGAAAAUAUAGAGUUGAAAAAAAUAAAAGGGAAGCUGCAUUCUUUUUAAUUGUUUUUGAACUUGUUGCUUUUCAACACAGCUAUUAUCUAAAUUAACUUAAUUUCUUAAAAUAAGCCCUGCUUGAUACCCGGGAACCUUCAAUCAACUAAUUUGCAGAUAAUCAGACCUAUUUACAAAUAGUCUGGUUUGUCUGAGUGACUUUCAGUGACACAUGCAUACUCAGAAAGGGUAUCAUUUGCCAGGGAUUAGUCAGUUCUGCUGAAUUACAGUCUUCAGAAUGAGAAGUCAUCUAGUUCAACCUUUCAUCCUUUUAAUAGAAUUUCUGGUGGAUAACAGCUGAGCUUCUCCUCCGACUCUGCUAGGAAUGGAGAACUUACUACUUCAAAACGUAGAUGCUGCCUGGGUUGAGCAGCUCUAAAUGUUCAAGAUGGAAUCAUUAAUAGGAAACUAAUUGAAAAGAAUUUGCAUAGCACGUCUCAAGGACAAAAAUCCCUUCUGUUGUUUUUUCCUUUUGUCUUGGUCUGCAUCUCUGUCAUUUGGUGGUGUUUGGACUGCCUGUCUGUCUUCCCUUUUUACUCCGAGCGGCGGCCUGCCCUCUGCCCCCUGCCCCCAGGGGAACAACAAUGGCCCUGAUCACAAUUGGGUGGCCAAGCAUAUCAUGCCGUGGAAGUUUGGAGCCAACACUCAGUUCCAGUUGCUCCUCUCCUUAUUCUCUAGGGUGGCUCCACUAGGUUCUGCUUUCUCAGAAAACAGCAGUGAACUUUGUUCAGCCGAAACCCUAUUUCCCAAGCUGAUACUUGCUCACUGGCCUCCCCUCCUCCAGCUGCUCCCAACUGCUGACCACUUCUUGAGCGCACUGCUAGCUGCUUCUGCUGUUCCAGCACUUCCUGGAAGGCAGCUGCAAGCAGCCGAGGCAGAUGGAGCCCAAGCCCUGUUGCUUGUGGUCUUGGCUUACUGAGCCUGAAUCCACGACCGGAUCAUUAGAAAAGGGACGGUGUGUGUGCCUACCUUUGAAGCCAGUAGGCCAAAAGAAGGGUGAGCAGGACAGCGCCAUAACACCUAGAGUUACUGUGUUUGGUUCACACUUCUGGUUUCCUGCAGAAUUGCUAGAAUUUUUAAAAAAAGGAAGCAGCAAGUUGAGAGCAACUAAAGUAAAAAGAGAAAAGUGAUACAAAGGGAAAGGUUUAUUUUUGGAGCUCUUAGAUUCUGAAACUCCUUCUGACUCUUUUAUCCUUUUACCUCUCCCUUUCUCCUCACUGGGCUCUUUGUCCUCAUGGGGACUGUGCAUCUCUGGUCUCACUCUAGCUCUGGGUCCCUUAGGCUCUUCUGGUUUUCUGGCUCCUGGAGUGAGCCCUUUCAAUGAGGCCCUCCCUCAAUUUCCCAUCCCUCUUGUUCUUCUGCCAUCCAGACUCAUCACAGCCCAAAUCUGAGACCAGCUGGCUGCACCGCUGGCUACUCAGAGCGGCUGGAGACAGCCAUGCCCUGGGGCGACUUGUUCCAUGGUGAUCUGACUGGUUCAUGCAGGGGUCUCGGACCUCACGGACCUCAUCAGGAGCAUCAAAUGGGGUUUUUUUUGGCCGGAAUGAUAUUUAAAACAAUUUGAUUUAGUUAUGAGCAUUUAAGAAAUAGGAGGUCACCAGAAAAUCCAGAGUUUUAGCUCGGCAAGCAGAGAUGGAGAGCUGGCGGUACCCGGUCUUUACCCAUUCUGGAAGGACCACUGGCUGGAGCUGAGAGGCAGUGGCUUCUCUGACAUGGGGCAUACACUCCAUUUUGCUACCUUCUCUGCAACAACAGAGAGUGUCUUCCUGGACCCCAAACUGAGAAUCAGAUGCCUUUAAUCAACGGGCUUGCUUCCUCCCACUCCCCAGACAACCUGAUUCAUGAGAUGCCUGCCUGUUCCCCGUGGGCAUCUGAGUUUGCAGCCCAUGCUCAGUAGAGUUUAUUCGGCAAUCCUUUUCCUGACCUAUAGCAGACUCCUAGCCCACCACAUUUCUAAUGCAGCUGUUGCAAGUCUUGUCCAGACCUUUCAGACCCUUGAUCUCUCCGGGAGAUUGUGCCUCAUACAUUAUUGAAAAGAUUGAGGCCACACAACAUGUGCUCUAAUGCCUCAGCUUUCUGCCUUUCUGCUUCUAAGGUCUCUGUUCUCUCUCCAUUCCGUCCUCCUUCCCUCCUUUCUGACUCUCUUUUUCUUUUUUUCAUCACUUUUAAAAAUUGUAAAAUAGAAUGUACGUACAGAAAAAGGAGGCCGAGGCAGGAGAAUCACUUGAACCUGGGAGACAGAGGUUGCAGUGAGGCGAGAUCACGCAUUGCACUCCAGCCUGGGCAAUAAGAGUGAAACUCUGUCUCAACAAAAAAGAAAAACAAAAAAGAACCAAAAAAAACCCCCCAAAACCAAAGAUAUACAGUUCAGUGAUUUAUCACAAAGUCAACACCAGUGUCAUUAUCAGCCUGAUCGAGAACUAGAACUCUGCCCUCCCUCACCCUGGACGUACUCUUCAUUCCCCCGUCCACCUCUACCCUCCCUCCCUAUCAGAGGCGACCAUUAUCCUGACUUUUUAUGUAAAGCAUCUUUGUUUAUCUUUACCACCUAAAUAUAUAUAUAAACAGAUGUUUAUAGCAGUUUUAUUCAUAACUGUAAAAACUUGAAAGCAACCAAGAUGUCCUUUAGUAGGUGAAUAGAUAAUAAACUGGGAUACAUUCAGGCAAUGCACCAUUAUUCAGUCCUCAAAAGAAAUGAGCUAUCAAGCCAUGACAUGAUAUGGAAGAACUUUAAAUGCAUAUUACUAAGUGAAAGAAGACAGUCUGAAAAGACUAUAUGCUGUGUGAUUCCAACUAUAUGUCAUUGUGGAAAAGGCAAAACUGCAGAGGCAGUAAAAGGAUCAGUAAUUGGCCGGGCGCAGUGGCUUACAUCUGUAAUCCAAGCACUUGGGGAGGCUGAGGCGGGCGGACCAUGAGGUCAGGAGAUCCAGGCCAUCCUGGCUAACACGGUGAAACUCCGUCUCUACUAAAAAUUCAAAAAAUUAGCUAGGCGUGGUGGCAUGCGCCUGUAGUCCCAGUUACUCGGGAGGCUGAGGCAGGAGAAUCGCUUGAACUCGAGAGGCGGAGGUUUCAGUGAGCCAAGAUGGCGCCACUGCACUCCAGCCUGGGCAACAGAGCAAGACUCCGUCUCACACACACAAAAAAAGAAUCAGUAAUUGCCAGGGAUUAGGGGGAGGGAGGGAUCAAACAGUGCAGCACAGAGGGUUUUUAGCACAGUGAACUACUCUGUAUGAUACUAUCAUGAUGGGCACCUGUCAUUAAACAUUUGUCAAAACUUGUAGAAUGUACAAGACCAAGAGAGAACCCUAAUGUGAACUAUGGAUCCUGGGCGAUACCGAUGUGCCAGUGUAGGCUCAUGGAUUGUAACAAACACACAGCCCAGGUGGGGGAUGUUGACAGUGGGGAAGGCUGUGCUAUGUGGGGGGCAGAGGGUAUAUGAGAUAUCUCUGUACCUUCUGUUCAAUUUUGCUGUGAACCUAAAACUGCUCUAAAAAAAUAAAAUCUUAAAAAAAAGGAAAAAAGUCUCUUUAAAUGCUAAGAUUUAGUUUUUGGCUAAACUAAACUUUAGCAUUUCAAUGCUAAAGGCUGUUUUUUUUUUUUUAACUUUAUAUAAAUGUAACUAAACAGUGUGUAUUCUUUCAUGCGCCGCACUUUUUACUCAACAUUAUACUUGUGAAAAUCAUCCAGGUUGUCAUGUGUAGGUGUAGUUUGCAGUUUUUAUCAGUGGAUAGUAUUACAUUAAAGAAAUGGCAUAAUUUGUCUGUCUAUUCUACUCUUGACGGACAUUUAGGUUGUUUCCAGUCUAGGGCUAUUAUAAAUGACGCUUCUGUGAUCAUCCUUGCUCUUGUGUGCUGGUGGAGGCAUAUGUGUGUUUCUGAGGGUAUUACUCUGAGCCUGGAGUCUUCUUUGUGGAAAGGUUUAAAUUAUCAAUUCAGUUUAUUGAAUGGUUAUUGGGUUAGUUAAGAUUUACAUACUUUCUUGUGUCCAUUUUUGAUAAAUUUUCUUUUUAAGGGAUUCACCAAUUUAUCUAAAUUUGCAAAAUGUUUUGGC
rnacentral:lncRNA from 1 species